rnacentral:rRNA from 1 species
AGAGUUUGAUCAUGGCUCAGGACGAACGCUGGCGGCGCGCCUAACACAUGCAAGUCGAACGAGCGAGAGAGAGCUUGCUUUCUCGAGCGAGUGGCGAACGGGUGAGUAACGCGUGAGGAACCUGCCUCAAAGAGGGGGACAACAGUUGGAAACGACUGCUAAUACCGCAUAAGCCCACGACCCGGCAUCGGGUAGAGGGAAAAGGAGCAAUCCGCUUUGAGAUGGCCUCGCGUCCGAUUAGCUAGUUGGUGAGGUAACGGCCACCAAGGCGACGAUCGGUAGCCGGACUGAGAGGUUGAACGGCCACAUUGGGACUGAGACACGGCCCAGACUCCGUACGGGAGCA